rnacentral:sRNA from 1 species
UGAUGACGUUGCAAACACGAACCCUAGC